rnacentral:rRNA from 1 species
UACAGAGGGGGCAAGCGUUGUUCGGAAUUACUGGGCGUAAAGGGCGCGUAGGCGGCCCGCUAAGUCGAACGUGAAAUCCCCGAGCUCAACUCGGGAACUGCGUCCGAUACUGGUGGGCUUGAAUCCGGGAGGGGGAUGCGGAAUUCCAGGUGUAGCGGUGAAAUGCGUAGAUAUCUGGAGGAACACCGGUGGCGAAGGCGGCAUCCUGGACCGGCAUUGACGCUGAGGCGCGAAAGCUAGGGGAGCAAACGGG